UACGGAGGGUGCGAGCGUUGUUCGGAAUCACUGGGCGUAAAGCGCGUGUAGGCGGCCUGCUAAGUCUGAUGUGAAAGCCCGAGGCUCACCCUCGGAAGUGCAUUGGAAACUGGCAGACUGGAGUCCCGGAGAGGAGGGUGGAAUUCCUGGUGUAGCGGUGAAAUGCGUAGAUAUCAGGAGGAACACCGGUGGCGAAGGCGGCCCUCUGGACGGUGACUGACGCUGAGACGCGAAAGCGUGGGGAGCGAACAGG
rnacentral:rRNA from 1 species